GACGAACGCUGGCGGCGUGCUUAACACAUGCAAGUCGAACGGGGAUCCCGUCUUCGGGUGGGGUUCUAGUGGCGAACGGGUGAGUAACACGUGGGCAACCUGCCCUCAGCUCUGGGAUAACUCCGGGAAACCGGGGCUAAUACCGGAUAUGACCAUCUUCCGCAUGGUGGGCGGUGGAAAGUUUUUCGGCUGGGGAUGGGCCCGCGGCCUAUCAGCUUGUUGGUGGGGUGAUGGGCUACCAAGGCGGCGACGGGUAGCCGGCCUGAGAGGGUGACCGGCACACUGGGACUGAGACACGGCCCAGACUCCUACGGGAGGCAGCAGUGGGGAAUAUUGCGCAAUGGGCGGAAGCCUGACGCAGCGACGCCGCGUGAGGGACGAAGGCCUUCGGGUUGUAAACCUCUUUCAGCAGGGACGAAGCCGUGAGGUGACGGUACCUGCAGAAGAAGCACCGGCCAACUACGUGCCAGCAGCCGCGGUAAGAC
rnacentral:rRNA from 1 species